AUCUAGCUGAUGAGUCCCAAAUAGGACGAAAUGUGCCUCUUGGAU
rnacentral:hammerhead_ribozyme from 1 species